rnacentral:lncRNA from 1 species
GUACACUCAUCGUUGAUAUACUAAUUGGCUGUAUUUCAGAAAUCCUCAGUCCAAUAGAAUAUCAUGAUACUCAUGUUUGCUUACAACUAAUAUUUAAACAUAGUAACUUCAAUGCAGAAGGAUGAACCGCACAUACUCAACCACAAAGAGUUUUUUUGGCUAAAACACUCUUUGUAAGGGAUCUUCUCAAGUCUCUCUACUUUCAAGUUAUUGUAACGAACUCUAAAUAUCUAAUAUGACUACCUAAGGCCAGUGUUCUAAAAAAAGUAGAACGUGGCUAGGCGACAAGUAACAUAUUUUUAUUGAAUUCCUCUCAACAUUGUGAGUAGAGUAAUGCUAUUUAUAGUGAAGAUUACCGGUAGUCGUCCUAUGUGGCAUAUAUAUGACAAUUUUUUAUUUGAUGCAUUAAUAUGAUAGUUUUUUAUUACUUUAUGCAUCAUAUAUCAAACUGUCAUAUGUAUGCCAAGUAAAGCGAUUAUCGAUAUUCUUCACCAUGAAUAACAUUAUUCUUGUGAGUAUUCCAUUAUAUAGAAAAUCUAGGAGUGAUACAUACAUAUACACGUACGUACGCGCGCGCACACACACACACUUAACACUAAGCAACUCAUGCCAAAAAAGGUCUUGAUCAAGGCACCGGCCUUCUAGUGCCGCCGCUUUACUCCGAACGGCAUGUUCUUCCACUAUUCACGCUAUUUAUAGUUCGAGCAAGAGCGGUUUUUAGAUAAAAUAAAGAAACAAGAUAAUAGAUUUGUCGUUAAGUCCGACUUGCAGAACUGUCUUUCGACUAGGCUUUAUGUUGAGGAUGCAGUUGGGUGGCCCCUCCACAGGGGUACCUACUUAGGCUGAUUGCUCAUUGGCUGUUGACAAAUCGCUCCGGAAGUGUGGAAGGAAUUCCACAUUUCCCUUUUUUUUUUUUAUUAUUUAUCUUCGAAUAACCCAUGAGACUUAAUCCAACAAAGACCCGAUCCCACUCCGCCCUGGAUGUGUGUAAUCAUCUUGUGCCAUAUGUACUGGGCUUUUCCUGGGAGACGUGGUAAAGAAGAUAGAUGUCGCAUAUGCGCUUUGUCUUAUAUUAGUAUUAGUCUUAGAUGAGUUGUUAGGAGGGGAAGGUGGAAACAGCUCCUAUUUCUAUUGUUAAAAGGGAGAACCUAUCUAUUCCUAUUAAAUAGCAGCAUUACAUGGUAUGGGAGAACUCCCAGAAAGUCCAAUGAGGGCUUAAAGCAAAGCUAAAGUGCUUAAGAAGGAAUUAGAUUAGUAUUGGCAGGGCAGGGCGAAUGAAGGAGACUCCAACUUCCCAUCAAACUCAAACCCCCAGGUCAGGAAAAGCAACUGAAACUGAAUCAAUAGCUGGGGUUGAAAAGGAAGCUACAGCAACGGAGGCUCGCAUAGCAUGACAAAGUACAACCUCCGAGAAAGCAGAAAGAAUCUAAGACUGAAUAAAGUGGAAGGAAAACCCUAGAAAAGCUCAACCCUAGACCUUGACCUCUCAUCCUAGAAGAAGAUUGGGUUCCUAUUGCUACAAACAAGGGGUAUCCAACAACAACUACUGAUACUACUAUUCCAACAAUUGUAACUAUCAGGAUUGAAGUACAAAGGUUUUGACUCUUGAACAUAUUCGCCUAGGAUAAACCUUUCAAUGACUUAAUCAGAGCAAAGUCAACCGCUGUAAUUGGAUGGGCUAGAAACUGGCUAUACUAGAAGUGUAAGGGCUUACAACUCAAACUUGAUCCCCCAUUGCAGAACUUCCUCGCCUAAGAGACUGAAGGGCUUGAUCUACUUUUCCCUAUCCAUACUCCUUAUCCAAUAGAUGGAAAGGCUUAGAAAAAAGGGCUUCUCUUUGUCCUGGUACUGGCUCUGCAAGGAAAAUAGAAAGAUACCGUAUUCGAUCAUAUAGAACAGGCCCUCCCUCGUAUGCAACUUAUUCUCGACUAAAGUAUAGGAUAUAUUAAGAAGAAAUUACGCACUUCACAUAGGGAGAAGGCUCAUACCUACCUAAAAUACAUCCCUAAGCCGCUGUUCCCAAUAGAGAGGGUAAAAGAGCCUAUCUAAGGAAGUCUAGUAGCGUGGCCUUCUUCCACUUCCAAUAGAGUAUCUAAGAUGAAGAGACAUGGGUGGAAGAUCCUUUUCAGAAGGUUAGAACUCCUCAUAAGGUCUGUUCCUCAUCACUUAUCUUCCCAUCUGGUCUAUAAGGUAAGAGUUUCUUUAGCGGCUUAAUGUCUUCUAACAGCCGGGAAUAGGUCCUCUUGCCCUUCCUGCUCAUCUAGAAGGUAAAAGCUUCUUUAACGGCUUAAUGUCUUCUGCCAGCCGGGAAUAGGUCCUCUUUCCCUUCCUGCUCAUCUAGAAACUUUUACAAAGUCUCAUCCCUUCUUAUCAUAACAAGCGUAAGAUCUGAGGGAAGCUUGUCUUCCAGAUCGAAACCCUGCUUCUACCUAUUCGCAUCUGAAAAGCAGUAGGGUGCGGCCCUCACCUUGCUUAGCAUCAAAGCGAACUGAUCCCAGCACAGUAAUAAAGCUCAAAGAUAGCCUUCCUCAUUAUUACGCCAUCCCCCACACUGCCCUAGGGCAAAGCUAAUAAAGGAAAACUAAUCUCUAUCAAUAUGUACUAUCGAUGUAAUAAAGGAAAACUAAUCUCUAUGGAUUCUGCGACCUGCCAAUUAUUUUCAAUCUGUCAAUUAAAAUCUGUCAAUUAUUGAUUUUGUAAAUCCCAUUGCUCGCAAGGUCAAGCUUCCAGCUUUUAUGAGCCUAAGUGGGGCCUAGGCAAAACCUAGGUGUAGAAAAGAGAAACUUGGCUAGGCGGCAGGCCAAGCUUUGUGCCUAGUCAAAGCUUAGGUGGUGUCUAAGUGCGCUUUUUAGAACACUGCCUAAUGCAUAGAAGUUUAAAAUUUCAAAAGAUGCGGUUUUGUUAAUAUAGAUAUUUAACCAAAAUUUACUCGUUCUCAGUGAAGCAAGCAUGAUGGCUGUGGGGUUCUAUGACUUUGGUUGAUUAAUUGUUAAAUUAUUUAUCUGAGUUCUCACAUUUCACCAAAUAUUUUAGUCUUUGGAGCAUUCAUCUUUUCCUGAAGUUAAUUGCUCAAGGGAUAUUUACUGAAUUCUCUAGCAAUUUGACAAUGAUGGUUGUGCAACUCUUUUAGAUGUCUUGGGAUGAAAUGCAGGUGUCCGGAACUCUUGGUUGCCUUUAUCUAUGGAUAUAUGGGACCAUAGACGUCAAAUGCUAUACUAAGAUACAUGUUUUCAAUAUCUCUUUCCUCCCUCUUUUGAGAUUCCUUUGGUAUUCAUAUUAUUAAUUUUGCAAUUGCACAAAGAAGUCAAAGAAAUCUCUCCCUACCAUCCCUACUAAAUAAAAGAAAAAUCACUUUUGAAAAGGUAACAUCUAUCAGCUAUGUAAUUUAGCCAUGUGAUAAUGUUCUGUAUGAUUUUACUUCGUGAAUUGUGAUACAUCUUGGUUUGAUGUUGUCGUACAGAUCUCUAGAUCAAUUGGUGAUGUGUAUUUAAAAAAGGCUGAAUUCAACAGGGAGCCAUUAUAUGCUAAGUUUCGAGUGUGUGAACCCUUCAAAAGACCAAUUUUGAGUUCAGAACCAUCAAUUUCUGUGCACCAAUUGCUACCUCAAGAUCUGUUCAUCAUAUUGGCAUCAGAUGGCCUGUGGGAACACCUCACCAACCAAGAAGCAGUUGAUCUAGUCCAAAAUCAUCCAUGCAGUGUAAGAUAAAAUGCUUCAAAUAUUAUAGCUUUCUAAUUUGAAGAGUAGCAUGUGACAUAGUUAAAGUUUUCUGUUAAAAUUAGUCAAUAGCACUGAUAUUUAAAUAUUCACCAUUAUUUUGUUGUCGAAAAUUUAUCCUACUAUUCAUAACAAGUCCUCUUACUGAUGCAAAAUCUAUCAAUAGGGAUUGUGAUGAUGUAUUCAUGUAAAUUAGUUAUAGGUGAUGCAUAAUACCCACCAUCAAAUUAAGUUAGUUUAAGUUCAGCUCUCAUCUUUAGAGUACGAGAAGUUAUUUCAAUUUUAGUUCAACUCCGUUGUGCAGGGGAGUGCUAGGAGAUUAGUGAAAGCAGCAUUGCAAGAAGCCGCGAAGAAGAGGGAAAUGAGGUACUCCGACUUGAAGAAAAUCGAGCGAGGAAUACGUCGGCAUUUCCACGAUGACAUCACAGUUAUUGUUGUGUUUCUCAACUCAAAUCUUGUAAGCAGGGCUAGUUCAACCAAGAGUCCUAAUAUAUCCGUGAAAGGGGGUGGCGACAUCAAUCUGCCUUCAAAAAUGCUUGGUCCUUCAGCUGUAGCUACUUGAUGACGCUCUUUCUAAUUUGUACUGUACUGUUCAAUGUGGAUACAGAUUAGCUACUUAAAAGUUAAGAGAUGCCCUUGAAUUUCUGAUGUGCCCUCUGUGGCGUUUAACCAAAGAAGGCAUAAUAAUCGGCAAUAGUUUCAAUACCCGAGGAGGCUGGAAAAUGAGAACUCCAAGAUGAUAAUAAUUGUAAUUAUGUUCUCUGGGUAAAUCUUUCAUUAUCUGUUGUUCUCUCCCUUGUGUCAUUUACUCCCUUACAGCUAAAAUGACUUUAUUGAUAUUUUGUUUGAAAACUGAUUAUCACAGUUGUUAUAAAUACUAGUGUCUUCACACUAGGCAGUGGCAUGCUUCUGUAAAGGGGAUUAACAGCAUGCUUGGGGUGGCUUAUAAGCUUAUUUAUUUUACUUAGCCCAAGUUUGGCUGAUGUUCAUAAACAGUUUAUAGUAGACUAAAUCACUUUUAAUCACACAGACUAUUCAUUUAUCCAUCAUUCAUUAUAAAAAAACUCCUAAACUUGCUAUAACAACUCGUGGACCUGUUCUCUCCUUACAAGUCAGUUUUUGCCCAUAAAGAGUGAUCUUAUGGUUAGUGAAGAACUGUGCAUUUUACUAGAAGUCUAUUCCUCAUUGAGGUGCAUCCCAGCUUUUAACUACCUGUGGAAGUUGCGGGGAAUUGAAACUUGCUAGAGAGAAUUUUUUUACUACAGUAUCUUGGUGUUAUUUGCGUCAAUUUUCCUUUCCAUUAAACCAUGGUAACUAACCUAGGUAUCUGUUUGUCAAGUUGGAUCAAUUUUUUGGACAUGCCUGAGUCCAAUCCGUUGUGCUGAGAGAGAGAGAGAGAGAGAGAGAGAGAGAGGGCUUUAAUCAGUGUGUCAGGCAUAUUCCCGCCACCCCGUAAAAACCAUUUACUACACAGUCAAUCUGGCUCAAUAAUCAAUGAUGAGAAUGGGGUUUUCUAGUUUAACCAAUGUUAGAUACUAAACAACGUUAGUGCUUUCUCAGCUUUUAACUACCUGUGGAAGUUGCGGGGAAUUGAAACUUGCUAGAGAGAAUUUUUUUACUACAGUAUCUUGGUGUUAUUUGCGUCAAUUUUCCUUUCCAUUAAACCAUGGUAACUAACCUAGGUAUCUGUUUGUCAAGUUGGAUCAAUUUUUUGGACAUGCCUGAGUCCAAUCCGUUGUGCUGAGAGAGAGAGAGAGAGAGAGAGAGAGAGAGGGCUUUAAUCAGUGUGUCAGGCAUAUUUCCGCCACCCCGUAAAAACCAUUUACUACACGGUCAAUCUGGCUCAAUAAUCAAUGAUGAGAAUGGGGUUUUCUAGUUUAACCAAUGUUAGAUACUAAACAACGUUAGUGCUUUCUCGUGCAGAAUUGGUCAACCAAAUUUCUUAUCUAACAAUUGCACGAUUAUCUAUCACAUCAAUCUAUCAUAUUUAAUUUUCUAUUUUUUGUGUGGAUAUGUAAUAACUAUAUUUUUCAUCCUCAUUCUUACAAAAAUGGGGUAAAAUGGUUCAACGUCGCAAAAACUGUCUUUAUAAGAUUAAUGUUCCCUUUUUAUCCUAUUUUUUGUUAAACUUAUUUUUAAAUAUUUUUUUCAAUAAAAUAAUUUUGUUUAGAGCCAUAAUUUUUUCCUCUUAUAUAUAUAAUUUAGGAAAAUAUUCUAAUUUUUUUUUUUUACCAAUUACAGUCUUCGCCCUUUUUUCCUAUUUUUUAAACAUAUUUUCUGAAGAAAAAUCACUAUUAUAAUUUUAUUUUAUUUUAUUUUAUUUUUUGAAAAAUUGGCUCUCUGUGUAUUGGAGAGUCUAUAGAGAGUCCUUCUUUCCAUUAUUUCUUGGUUUGAGCACAGCUGUCAGUAAAUUCAGCAGUGAAGGUAAAUUUAUGAAGAGUCACAUUUAUUGGGGAAAUUUAACUUUAAUGCAGUAAAUACGAAGUAGAUUGUGUAAAAUUUAAAGCAUCACGACCAACUCUAAUCUUACAUAUACAAGGUUGUCCUUGUCUCAAAGGAAUCUGGGGAUGGAUGCUAAUUUCCGCCUCCCAUCUAGGGGUGGCGCGCGGGUCAAUUCGGUUCGGUUUAAAAGAGAAUCGAAUCGAAUCGAAAUUUUCGGAUAUCUAGUAAAUGGAUUUAGAAAACGUUAAUUUAUUAAUUUGUUUAGAAAAAAUUGAAAUUAAAAUAAUUUGAUUUACUCAAUAUAAAAAAAUAAUUUAGAAAGAUUCAGUUCUUAUUCGAUUUUUCGGGGCUUGGUCUAGAAUCGAGGACCGAACCGUACCCGUCGAUUCUCAAUUCAGAUACCCGUUCGAGUAUUUAAUUUGACAAGAACCGUCGGGUUCGGUUCGGGAGAUUUGCCCAACCCUACUCCCAUCCACCCCCACUCUUUUAGAAGUUUUUUCAGAGGUUAAAAUCCAACAGCAGAAAUGGAAUUCACAUCCCAGAUCAAUUUUUCUUUCUACUUUCAAGUUAUUGUAACGAACUCUAAAUAUCUAAUAUGACUACCUAAGGCCAGUGUUCUAAAAAAAGUAGAACGUGGCUAGGCGACAAGUAACAUAUUUUUAUUGAAUUCCUCUCAACAUUGUGAGUAGAGUAAUGCUAUUUAUAGUGAAGAUUACCGGUAGUCGUCCUAUGUGGCAUAUAUAUG